UACAGAGGUCCCGAGCGUUUGUUCGGAUUCAUUGGGCGUAAAGGGUGCGUAGGCGGCGGGGCAAGUCUGAUGUGAAAUCCCGGGGCUCAACCCCGGAACUGCAUUGGAUACUGCUUUGCUAGAGUACUGGAGAGGGAACUGGAAUUUACGGUGUAGCAGUGAAAUGCGUAGAGAUCGUAAGGAAGGCCAGUGGCGAAGGCGAGUUCCUGGACAGUAACUGACGCUGAGGCACGAAGGCCAGGGGAGCAAACGGG
rnacentral:rRNA from 1 species